CUACGGAGGGUGCAAGCGUUACUCGGAAUCACUGGGCGUAAAGCGCGCGCGGGCGGCUUGAUAAGUUGGAUGUGAAAGCCUACGGCUCAACCGUAGAACUGCAUCCAAAACUGUCAGGCUAGAGUGUGGGAGAGGAAGAUGGAAUUAGUUGUGUAGGGGUAAAAUCCGUAGAGAUAACUAGGAAUACCAAAAGCGAAGGCAAUCUUCUGGAACACUACUGACGCUCAGGCGCGAAGGCGUGGGGAGCAAACAGGAUUAGAAACCCCUGUAGUCC
rnacentral:rRNA from 1 species